GGCCCAUAGCUCAGUGGUAGAGCAUCUGCCCUGGAAGCAGAAGGUCCCAGGCUCAAUCCAAAGCAUCUUCA